GGUAGCGUGGCCGAGCGGUCUAAGGCGCUGGAUUUAGGCUCCAGUCCCCGCGCGGGACGUGGGUUCGAAUCCCACCGCUGCCA